rnacentral:misc_RNA from 1 species
ACGGAAGAAGGGGAUUACCAGGUAAAGCUACGCAACCUGGUACGUUUCCUUGAAGAGGGGGACAAGGCCAAGGUUUCCUUGCGAUUCCGCGGCCGUGAGAUGGCUCACCAGGAGCUGGGGAUGGAGUUGCUCAAGCGGGUCGAAGCAGACCUCGCUGAGCUUGGUACCGUCGAACAGCAUCCUAAGCUGGAAGGACGCCAGCUGAUGAUGGUCAUCGCUCCCAAGAAGCGUAAGUAACCUACCGGGCACUGGCAGGCCUGAUGGUUGACUGUUGUUAUUGAAUGCGGAGUACGAACAUGCCAAAGAUGAAAACCAAA